GCAAAUAUGUCGGAAUUGGUAGACGAGCUUUAUUUAGGAUUAGGUGUCCAAAAGGCGUGAGAGUUCGAGUCUCUCUAUUUGUA
rnacentral:tRNA from 1 species